GGUCAGCGACUUAUAUUCUGUAGCAAGGUUAACCGAAUAGGGGAGCCGGAGGGAAACCGAGUCUUAAUUGGGCGUUAAGUUGCAGGGUAUAGACCCGAAACCCGGUGAUCUAGCCAUGGGCAGGUUGAAGGUUGGGUAACACUAACUGGAGGACCGAACCGACUAAUGUUGAAAAAUUAGCGGAUGACCUGUGGCUGGGGGUGAAAGGCCAAUCAAACCGGGAGAUAGCUGGUUCUCCCCGAAAGCUAUUUAGGUAGCGCCUCGUGAAUUCAUCUCCGGGGGUAGAGCACUGUUUCGGCUAGGGGGCCAUCCCGGCUUACCAACCCGAUGCAAACUGCGAAUACCGGAGAAUGUUAUCACGGGAGACACACGGCGGGUGCUAACGUCCGUCGUGAAGAGGGAAACAACCCAGACCGCCAGCUAAGGUCCCAAAGUCAUGGUUAAGUGGGAAACGAUGUGGGAAGGCCCAGACAGCCAGGAUGUUGGCUUAGAAGCAGCCAUCAUUUAAAGAAAGCGUAAUAGCUCACUGGUCGAGUCGGCCUGCGCGGAAGAUGUAACGGGGCUAAACCAUGCACCGAAGCUGCGGCAGCGACGCUGAUG
rnacentral:rRNA from 1 species